rnacentral:rRNA from 1 species
GGCAAACGGGUUAGUAACACGUAGAUACAUGCCCUGAAGUCUCGCAUAAUCCUGCGAAAGCAGGACUAAUUCGAGAUAGUCCCUGAGAGUAAUCGAAGGGUAAAGAUUUUUCGCUUCAGGAUUGGUCUGCGGCCUAUCAGCUUGUUGGUGAGGUAAUGGCUCACCAAGGCUAUGACGGGUAGGGGACAUGAGAGUGUGAUCCCCAACAAGGGCAUUGAGAUACGGGCCCUACUCC